UACGGAGGGUGCAAGCGUUAUCCGGAUUCACUGGGUUUAAAGGGUGCGUAGGCGGGCAGGUAAGUCAGUGGUGAAAUCUCCGAGCUUAACUCGGAAACUGCCAUUGAUACUAUUUGUCUUGAAUAUUGUGGAGGUAAGCGGAAUAUGUCAUGUAGCGGUGAAAUGCUUAGAUAUGACAUAGAACACCAAUUGCGAAGGCAGCUGGCUACACAAAUAUUGACGCUGAGGCACGAAAGCGUGGGGAUCAAACAGG
rnacentral:rRNA from 1 species